rnacentral:rRNA from 1 species
UACGUAGGGGGCGAGCGUUGUCCGGAGUUACUGGGCGUAAAGCGCACGCAGGCGGUCUGCUAAGUUUGGAGUGACAGUUGGUGGCUUAACUGCCAAAGUGCUUCGAAAACUGACAGACUUGAGGGCUUCAGAGGGACACGGAAUUCCUGGUGUAGCGGUGGAAUGCGCAGGAUAUCAGGAGGAACACCGAUGGCGAAGGCAGAU